GAUGAAUUUUAACCCGGCACAUGUGGUUCGAUUGCAUCACCGGGUAAACAUUCAUCUA
rnacentral:pre_miRNA from 1 species